AGUGAACGCUGGCGGUAGGCCUAACACAUGCAGGUCGAACGGCAGCACAGGAGAGCUUGCUCUCUGGGUGGCGAGUGGCGGACGGGUGAGGAAUACAUCGGAAUCUACUCUGUCGUGGGGGAUAACGUAGGGAAACUUACGCUAAUACCGCAUACGACCUACGGGUGAAAGCAGGGGACCUUCGGGCCUUGCGCGAUUGAAUGAGCCGAUGUCGGAUUAGCUAGUUGGCGGGGUAAAGGCCCACCAAGGCGACGAUCCGUAGCUGGUCUGAGAGGAUGAUAAGCCACAGGGGAACAGGGAAGCGGUCCAGACUCCUACGGGAGGCAGAAGUGGGAAAUAUUGGAAAAGGGGCGCAAGCCUGAUCCAGCCAUACCGCGUGGGUGAAGAAGGCCUUCGGGUUGAAAGGCCCUUUUGUUGGGAAAAAAAUCCAGCUGGCUAAUACCCGGUGGGGAUGACGGUACCCAAAGAAUAAGCACCGGCUAACUUCGUGCCAGCCGCCGCCGUAA
rnacentral:rRNA from 1 species